GCUGGUCCCUCCACCCCCUGCUUUUUUGUGAUCAUUUUAUCUUUGCCUCUUGCUAUCUGCCUAAGAUUGGUGUUAAAGAGAUUUCCGGGGCAUUUCACGGAUUUUUUGUUUUUAUUUUUAUUGUUUCUUUAAGUAAUCACAGGUAUAAUUUCCUUUUCUUUCUUUUAAAGAUGGAAAGGUGAGCUUCUUAAAGUAGACAAAAUACCUGUUUGGUAGAAGGGCAGCAGUCCCAGUUGUGUUUGAUAGAUGCACUGUGUCAUAAAUUUGCAGCUGAUUGUAAUAGAUGUAAGCUCUGAAGUGAACUUGGCAUUCUAACAUUUCUGUCAGACUGUGUCCAAUUUUGAGCUGUGAAUAGGCUAUCUUAAGGUUAAUUUUCAAGUCAUUUAAAGGCCUUUUCCAAUGAGGAUGGCAUCAAGUUUUUAAAAUUGAAAAAAAAAAAAAAAGUUUAGUCUCCCAAAGUUAUUUUGCUUUCAUUUCUUAGCAAGUUAUUUAUUUCUUCUGUACCUUUUGAAAAAGUUUUCUGUAUUUCAUGUAAGAGGAUUUGAUGUGCAUCUGUGUUCUUAGGUCUUGAUGGAUUUUGUGUUUUUACUUAAAAAAGACUUGUCCUGCUCUUAAAAGACUCAAUAUUUUCCUCCUUUUUCUCUAGAAUCAAAUGGAGUCACCUUAGAUGACCAUUUACCCCUUCUAGCAGUAGUAAACCUAGUCUUUUGGAUAUUUGAAAGAAUACCCCUUUGUGCUGGCUGGAGGAAGGAUGAAAACUGGAAAAGACUAAAUUAUAUUCAGACUUGUUAGGGUAUUUCAUUACUAGGAACACCAGAAAGGUUUAUUACGUUGCCUAAGCCCCCAGGGAGUGGGUCGGGCUGAUGCUCAUGUGUGUUUACUGCGCCAGGCUAGGGUAUCUCAUGGUGGUGCCACCGCCCCAGGAAGUGCUUCCAUCUGACCAAACAUCUUCUGUUGAGGGGGAAAAGUUAGAUAUAACUUCUCUUCUCUCUAAAGUAGAUAUGGAGAAUGAUUGAAUCAUACAUGAUGGUACAUAGCUGUAUAUUAACAGUUCAUUAGUAGGUUGCUUCUGAGUCUUUUAUACACUGUUGAUCUGUAUUGUGAUUUAUUUCAUCAUUGUUAUUAAUUUAUUAUUAAAAUUUAUUGUAAUUAUAAUAUUGCAUAAGUCUAUGUUAUAAUAGCAUGGCAUGGUGGCGCCCUCCUGUAGUUCCAGCCACUCAGGAGGCUGAAGUGGGAGGACCGCGUGAGCCCAGGAAUUUGAGUCCAGCCUAGGCAGUGUAUUGAGACCCUACAAAAAAGAAAUCAGAUAAGUCUUUUAUUUCUAAAAUAAGCAAUAAAAUGUUGUCUUUUGUCUUUAUUUUGCUCCCACUUGGAUGAUAUUUUUAUAUUAAGGCCAUUGUGGGGGAAGAUGGAGGUAGCUCAGCCUUUGAAUCCUAGGUGCAGACUGAUCACCCUUUGCUGUUGUCUGAAGACCUCACCCCUGGAUUAUUGAAGGUUACCCACUCAGAAUUCUAGCAGUCAGUUGCAUACUUAAUUGUACUCUUAAUGUUUUCCACAUUAUUCCUUUUUUCCAGGACUGUUUUGCUGCCUAGAGUAAAAAUCUUUAGUUGUGGCUGCUAACUGUGAGAGGGAGAUAAUUUGUAAAUGAUGAAAAGUAAGGUGAAAGAGUUGCAAUUUUCUCUCCUUCGUUUUAGUUUUAGAGAAACUUCACCUUUAAUUGAGAGGAAGAAGGCCCAGGCAGAUAGCUCCUCAAGUCCACAUUGCACUCUGUAGCUGAUUUUAUGUGGGAUCUAAUAGUUGUGGAUGAUGCUGUGGCCACAGGAAGAGAGCAGAGAUGGGAAGGUGGUAAGCAGCAGUGGGACCGGUGGAGAGAAAUGGAUGCUUGCCACUCGUGGUCUCCAUAUCUUGCUUUUCACCAUGUUUCCCUGAUGUGAGAUUAAAAAGUCAGUUUCAAAAGGCACUAUUCAUGCCAAGCAGCUGAUCUCCAUGGUCUCUGAAGGAGUUAAGUCUUACUAGAAGUUCUUGAUGUUGGCUUACUUUCCAGUCCCAAAGUUGGUCUCAAACAAAUGCAGGGGGUG